AACAAAAAGCAGUUCUGUGCAUAUGAAAAAAGAAAAUAGUGAAAAGGCUUGUGUCUUCCCCUGAACCGCCACUCUUUGUCCCAGUCUUAAAGUCUGACAUAUAGUAGUGCAGUGGGGGGGAAAUGCUCCAGGAGCGCGGCGGUACAACCCGGGGACUGGCGCUGGGACUGUCCGGCUCCUGGAGGUGUGAGCCGGGGACCUCCAGAGCCACACCGGGGAUUGAUGUCCCGCUGGGCAGCUGAGGAUCUGCGGCCCGGCCUGGGUUGGAAGUGUCCUUGGCUUCCAACCAACAACACCCACCAGCCAGCAGAGCAUCAUCUGUGAAGUUUACCUCUCAGUGCAAAAGGCUGAUAACCUGUAAUGAACGGGAGACCAGCGGAGGCAGAGUGCAGUAUGAAAGCUGAGAGCUUAUCAACACAUAUCCUGGUUUCACCUCUGUUUGUCACGACCAGCCCACAGAGCAGCAGUCAGCCAUGCACAGAAUUAUUCCUCCGCUAUCAGCACAUCCCAGACAACCUCCAGCUUGGCUUCGUUUCAGAAUUUCUUUCCAUAUUGUCGUAUUUUAAUCUUUUGCAGAACAUCAGUUGGUUAUACAUGCAUUUAAAUCACUGUAAGUGACCAGAGACUGUUAACAUUUACAUUUAUUUGCAUCCCACUUAACCCUCCUGUUGUCCUCAUUUACGGGCACCAAAAAGUAUUGUUUCAUUUUCUGAAAAAAUCCAAAAAGUCAGCAAAAAAAUUCCCCACAUUUCUGAAAAUUUGAAAAAACCUUCAGGAAGAAACCUCCAAUAUUUCCUUAAAAGUUAAAAAAAAUCCCCCAAAAUUGGCAAGAAAAUUCUUGAAAAUACUUUCAAGAAAUGAGUAAAAAUCUUCCAAAAAAAUUCCUAAAAACAUCUAAAAUGAUUCCAUAUUUAUCAGUAAAACUUCUAAUAUUUUCUUUAAGAACAUUCACAUAAAAAUCAACCAAAAUCCAGCGGAAUUUCCACCAAAAAAAUGUUCAAAGAUUUCCCAAAAAUGUUGAAAUUGUGGACAUCAGAAGUUUCACUGUGAGUUUUUUUUUUCCCCACAUUUUCAAACUUUAAAACGGGUCAAUUUUGGCCCGCAGGACGACACGAGGGUUAAUAAGGAAAUUUUUCAUUUACUUUGCUUCUUUUUCCAAUCUGUAGAUCUGAAUGUUCUGGAUGCGACCCUGAAUCUUUGUUUGCUGGACAAACAAACAAAGAGAGACAAUGAACAGCUCAUUAGCAGCAGCUCACUAAUAGUCUACUGACUGUCCGUAGAUGAUGGUCCAAUGUUUGACCUACUUCACGGUUCCGUACUGUGUAGCUAUUAUCAAAGCAUAAUGAAUCAUUUUGUUGGAGGUAAAA